UCCGAUAUGGUGUAGUGGCCAACAUGAUGCCCUCUCAUCUCGUUAGAGGCUAGGCAUAGCCCCGAGUUCGAUUCUCGGUUUCGGAA
rnacentral:tRNA from 1 species